rnacentral:rRNA from 1 species
GGGUUGUGAGGUUAAGCGACUAAGCGUACACGGUGGAUGCCCUGGCAGUCAGAGGCGAUGAAGGGCGUGCUAAUCUGCGAUAAGCGCCGGUAAGGUGAUAUGAACCGUUAUAACCGGCGAUACCCGAAUGGGGAAACCCAGUGUGAUUCGUCACACUAUCAUUAACUGAAUCCAUAGGUUAAUGAGGCGAACCGGGGGAACUGAAACAUCUAAGUACCCCGAGGAAAAGAAAUCAACCGAGAUUCCCCCAGUAGCGGCGAGCGAACGGGGAGGAGCCCAGAGCCUGAAUCAGCAUGUGUGUUAGUGGAAGCGUCUGGAAAGGCGCGCGAUACAGGGUGACAGCCCCGUACACAAAAGCGCAUGUGCUGUGAGCUCGAUGAGUAGGGCGGGACACGUGGUAUCCUGUCUGAAUAUGGGGGGACCAUCCUCCAAGGCUAAAUACUCCUGACUGACCGAUAGUGAACCAGUACCGUGAGGGAAAGGCGAAAAGAACCCCGGCGAGGGGAGUGAAAAAGAACCUGAAACCGUGUACGUACAAGCAGUGGGAGCACAGGUUUACCUGUGUGACUGCGUACCUUUUGUAUAAUGGGUCAGCGACUUAUAUUCUGUAGCAAGGUUAACCGAAUAGGGGAGCCGGAGGGAAACCGAGUCUUAAUUGGGCGUUAAGUUGCAGGGUAUAGACCCGAAACCCGGUGAUCUAGCCAUGGGCAGGUUGAAGGUUGGGUAACACUAACUGGAGGACCGAACCGACUAAUGUUGAAAAAUUAGCGGAUGACCUGUGGCUGGGGGUGAAAGGCCAAUCAAACCGGGAGAUAGCUGGUUCUCCCCGAAAGCUAUUUAGGUAGCGCCUCGUGAAUUCAUCUCCGGGGGUAGAGCACUGUUUCGGCUAGGGGGCCAUCCCGGCUUACCAACCCGAUGCAAACUGCGAAUACCGGAGAAUGUUAUCACGGGAGACACACGGCGGGUGCUAACGUCCGUCGUGAAGAGGGAAACAACCCAGACCGCCAGCUAAGGUCCCAAAGUCAUGGUUAAGUGGGAAACGAUGUGGGAAGGCCCAGACAGCCAGGAUGUUGGCUUAGAAGCAGCCAUCAUUUAAAGAAAGCGUAAUAGCUCACUGGUCGAGUCGGCCUGCGCGGAAGAUGUAACGGGGCUAAACCAUGCACCGAAGCUGCGGCAGCGACGCUUAUGCGUUGUUGGGUAGGGGAGCGUUCUGUAAGCCUGUGAAGGUGGCCUGUGAGGGUUGCUGGAGGUAUCAGAAGUGCGAAUGCUGACAUAAGUAACGAUAAAGCGGGUGAAAAGCCCGCUCGCCGGAAGACCAAGGGUUCCUGUCCAACGUUAAUCGGGGCAGGGUGAGUCGACCCCUAAGGCGAGGCCGAAAGGCGUAGUCGAUGGGAAACGGGUUAAUAUUCCCGUACUUGGUGUUACUGCGAAGGGGGGACGGAGAAGGCUAUGUUGGCCGGGCGACGGUUGUCCCGGUUUAAGCGUGUAGGUGUGUGUUCCAGGUAAAUCCGGUUCACUUUAACACUGAGGCGUGAUGACGAGGCACUACGGUGCUGAAGUAACAAAUGCCCUGCUUCCAGGAAAAGCCUCUAAGCAUCAGGUAACAUCAAAUCGUACCCCAAACCGACACAGGUGGUCAGGUAGAGAAUACCAAGGCGCUUGAGAGAACUCGGGUGAAGGAACUAGGCAAAAUGGUGCCGUAACUUCGGGAGAAGGCACGCUGACACGUAGGUGAAGUGAUUUACUCAUGGAGCUGAAGUCAGUCGAAGAUACCAGCUGGCUGCAACUGUUUAUUAAAAACACAGCACUGUGCAAACACGAAAGUGGACGUAUACGGUGUGACGCCUGCCCGGUGCCGGAAGGUUAAUUGAUGGGGUCAGCGCAAGCGAAGCUCCUGAUCGAAGCCCCGGUAAACGGCGGCCGUAACUAUAACGGUCCUAAGGUAGCGAAAUUCCUUGUCGGGUAAGUUCCGACCUGCACGAAUGGCGUAAUGAUGGCCAGGCUGUCUCCACCCGAGACUCAGUGAAAUUGAACUCGCUGUGAAGAUGCAGUGUACCCGCGGCAAGACGGAAAGACCCCGUGAACCUUUACUAUAGCUUGACACUGAACAUUGAGCCUUGAUGUGUAGGAUAGGUGGGAGGCUUUGAAGUGUGGACGCCAGUCUGCAUGGAGCCGACCUUGAAAUACCACCCUUUAAUGUUUGAUGUUCUAACGUGGACCCGUUACCCGGGUUGCGGACAGUGUCUGGUGGGUAGUUUGACUGGGGCGGUCUCCUCCUAAAGAGUAACGGAGGAGCACGAAGGUUGGCUAAUCCUGGUCGGACAUCAGGAGGUUAGUGCAAUGGCAUAAGCCAGCUUGACUGCGAGCGUGACGGCGCGAGCAGGUGCGAAAGCAGGUCAUAGUGAUCCGGUGGUUCUGAAUGGAAGGGCCAUCGCUCAACGGAUAAAAGGUACUCCGGGGAUAACAGGCUGAUACCGCCCAAGAGUUCAUAUCGACGGCGGUGUUUGGCACCUCGAUGUCGGCUCAUCACAUCCUGGGGCUGAAGUAGGUCCCAAGGGUAUGGCUGUUCGCCAUUUAAAGUGGUACGCGAGCUGGGUUUAGAACGUCGUGAGACAGUUCGGUCCCUAUCUGCCGUGGGCGCUGGAGAACUGAGGGGGGCUGCUCCUAGUACGAGAGGACCGGAGUGGACGCAUCACUGGUGUUCGGGUUGUCAUGCCAAUGGCACUGCCCGGUAGCUAAAUGCGGAAGAGAUAAGUGCUGAAAGCAUCUAAGCACGAAACUUGCCCCGAGAUGAGUUCUCCCUGAGACUUAAAGUCUCCUGAAGGAACGUUGAAGACGACGACGUUGAUAGGCCGGGUGUGUAAGCGCAGCGAUGCGUUGAGCUAACCGGUA